GAAACCGACUGGGAGAAGCAGAGAAAAAAAUAAGACAAAAAUGAACGAGAAAAAGGAAAGACUGAAGGAGAAGAAGAAGAAAUGUGUGUUGGCUUUUGAAGAUUGAGGUUUUAUUCCUUAAUUCUUCUUAUUUUCAAGAGCUAAUUGAAGUUUAUGUUACUUGAAUAUUUUGGGGUUAAUGGAAAAUUUACUUUACUUCGAAGUUUAGCAAUAAUUGGUUGUUAUUUAUAUGUAUUUGAGGUUAUAAAUAGGAAUAUAGCAAAGAAUGUUAUUUGAGUAUUGAAGUUGAAAAAAGUUGAAUAUUGAAAUGGGUUUGAAAGAUAGAAACAUAUUAUUUGAAUUUGCUUGUGAUUAUAUGAUGUUAAACACUUAAAUUAAGGAAUUAGGGUUGAUUUCUCCAUUUUUAAGUAAUAAUUAUAAGCAAUUUUUGGACAAAUCUUACAUAGGUGCUAUAUUUGUAAUUCUGCCCAGAGUAGUGCUAAUUCUGUCAAAGGUUUUAUUGCCAGAUUUCAUUAUUAUGAGAUUUUAGAGAUGUUUUUGUCAAAGCUCUUAUUUUCAGAUUUUUAAAGAUUUGAAUGAAGUUAUAUGACAAGUGUUGAAUUUUAUAUAUUGGAAUAAAUGAUGUAUAUGGGUUGUAUAUGUAUAAGGUAUUGAUUUUAAGGAAGUGCAAGUGAUUUAAUGGAUUUGAUAAUGCAUGUUGCUUAGUUGAUGAAUCAAUAAAAAGAAUAAAAGUUGGAGAAUUGGAGGAGAGUAAAUAUAGAAGUUGAGGAGUUAAGUGGUGGAAUUGUAUUAGUUUAAUUGUCAAGUUUUAAUUUGAGUUAUUAUACCGUUAUUUCAGGUGGUGACGUGAAAGCUUAGAAUGACUCGUCAAUUUAGCCAGAUUUCUAUCUAUGGAUCUGUGAGUGAAAAAAUAUAAAUAUUUUUAAAAUAUUUAUGAAUUAAGUAUAUUAUCAAAGUAUGUGCAAUUAUGUGUUCGAAUUAUAUGGUUAUUAUGGAAAUAUCUUUUAUUAUAAUACAUGUGGGAUUUCAAAGAUUGUAUACGGUAUAUUGUGAAUUGGAAUAUAAGAUGUGAUUUUGAAAUCGACCAAAAAAAUACCCGUGAUUAUAUAUUUCUUCUAGUUCAUUGAGGGGUCUUGGCUGUGUUCUAUACUACACUAAGGGGCCGACUGGGGAUGAAGGGAUCGUGACCGUGUACAUAUAGUUCACUGAAGGGCAUUGGCCGUAUUCUAAAAUUGAUUAUCAGAGGUCAUGAGAUCCGCUUUCGUUCAUGGAGGGGGCCAAAGGCUCGUGGCAAUAGUACUUAGCCCGAGAGACGGAUUACAGAUUUUACUUAGAGGGUACAUUUUGGUAGAUCACAUGUGAUGUGAUGAAAUGAUGGUAUAAAUAUCAAUUGAUGAUUAUAUCAUGAUUAUGAGAUGAUAUUUACAGUAUUAUGAGAAUGUCUCAUUUUUUAUCUAUAAUUGUAUGAAGCUAUCAUAUGAAUUACUAAACGAUAUGAACUUGAUGUCUAUGUAUGAGAAAAAUGUUUAAAGGAGAAAAUAUGAUUAUUUUUGAACUCUUCUACUUACUGAGCUAUCAACUAAUGUUUUGCUAAAAUUAUUUUUACAGAUAGUAUUGGUCCUUGAUAGCUUGAGGAGCCUGGUGAUUUCAGAGUUAGAGUCACACGACAUGUUGAAGGAUAUGAGUCAAUUUGAUUAAACCAAGAAGUAAAGUUUUGAGCCCUUUGCACUAUGUUUUUAUAAACAUUUGAUUUUAUUACAUAUCUUGUAGUAACUCAUAGUGUGCCUUGGUGAUGGAGUUGACAUUUAGUCAGCCUCUAUCAUUGAUGCACGCCAAAUUUCGGGUCCACUAGGGUAAUUUGGGACGGGUCGUGUCAGAGUGGUAUCAAAGCAUUGUUUAUAAAGUUUUGAAAGUCUUCAUAGUUUAAACAUUAGCAUAUCAUUCAUUAUUCAGUGUGUAUGGUCACAUGUCGUGGUAGCAGAAAUCAUAGGUUCUCAAGCUCGAAUUUAUGGAACUGAAAAUGAUUGAAAAGCAUUUUUAUCAAAUCCAAAAAUGACUAGUAUGUAAGUAUGAUAUUUGCAAUGGUCUGAUGGUUGGAAAUGUUAUUAGUUGUUGGGUUGGAAUUAUGGUCUAUGUAACAUAUUAAGAGUUGAAUAGAUCAUGAUAUAUAGGAAAAUUUUUAGUUAUAGCUUGCACAAUAAAUACGGGGAAUUGAUAUAAUGUGUAUACUUGUGAUAAUUUGUAAAGGAUUUUAAUUAUUUUGGAGAGCUAAAUGACCUUUAGCGCUAUCGAAAAUCGUGAUGAAUUGUGGCUACUUGGUUGAGAUGAGAAUAGAAAGCAUGUUGGUGUGUACUUAUUCUAUAUGAUAAGAAUUUUGUGGAGGACAAAAUGAUAAUAUUAUGUAGAUUGUUGAUUAAUAAAAUACUAUACUUUAUUAUGAAUAUUACGCAUUGAGAAGAUUAACAUACAUCUGUACUUCAAGAAAAAUAUAGGGUGGGAUUAUGAUUGCCUUGACCAAUUAAACGAUGUGUUACAAAAUGAGAACGAUUAGUGAUAAAUGAGGUUGGAGAAGAAAAAUAAAUAAAUAAAUAAAUAAAAUAUAGGGAAGGAUUAAGAGUUCAAUUCAAGGAAAUAUAAUUUGAUAGGGAUAUAUAUUUGGGGACAUGUGUGGUCGGAAGUUAACGAGAAUAGAAAGAUAAGAGUAGGAAUUAGUGUUAAAUCACUGUGUAUAGGUUAUAUGCAAUAGUAGCUUGGGUUCUGUAUAAGUAUGUGUAUUUAUCGAAAGAAUGAGAAAGGAAAGAAAACAAUAAAGAGAGAUGCAUAGAUAUCCAUUAAGGUUGUUAAUUGGGCCUGCAAUGUUAUCGAUAUUCGAUCAUUAAAUAUGGGUACAAUGAUUUUCAAUUAGUAAGGGCCAACAAGAUAAGUACAAUGAAUCAUGUUGUUCAACUUGGGAGAUGAGACAUGAUUAAAUUUUGUGGCCAUAUGAUACGAUGAUGUUCACUUAAUAAGGUUAUUUUAUUAUGAGAGUCAUUGUCAAUAAUGAUAAACAAAAGAUAUGACAGUUUGAUGUAAAUAGAAUAACGUAAUAGUAUAAGUUAAAAUGUGAAUUGAUUUUCCUCUAGCCAUCAUUGGGUUUGUUGUGUUGGUUUAUAAUUUAUCGAGGACGACAUGUUAAAUUGGAGUUAGUAAGGACAUAUUAUCACGUUGUACUAUAAGGAAGAUGGGAUGUUAGUUAUGGUAAACAAGUUAGGUGGUAGAGAUGAUGCACAAUAAAAAAUUUAAAAAAAAAGAAAUAAAAGAAAAGAAAAGAAAAGGAAAUAGAGAGAGUCUAGGUGUUGUGUUUUUCUUUCUUUAUUUAAGAAAUGGGCAAGCUCAAGUUUCUUAACUUAGUACGGGUAAGCAUAUUUGGAGACGUGCAAAACUUCGAAUUAUCUCUACAGACAGAUUUAGGACAUGAAGGAAUUAAAUUGACAAUGAAACUUUGAAGCACGGAAAGAAACGAAUGAGAAAUGGAAGACGGCAGUAAUAAGUCGUGUUGUAUAUGGGCCUAAUUGAAAAGUGAAAUGAAAAAUUAGAAGAGGAGAAGAAGAUAAGUGGAAUAUGUAUAUGGGUAUUGCAGGGAGUGAAUAUUUAUAGAGGGAAAGAAAUGAAAAAUGUAAAAUGAAAAGAUGAGAAUAUCAUAUAUUGAUUCUUACGAAAGUUAUUGAAAAUAUGAUAAGGAAAGGAUGAACCUUGGGCCUAGUUAAAGGUUGUUGGGGAAAUCAUUUAAUAUUUUUUCUUUAUUUUCUAAUAUGUACGAAUUCUAGUGGAGUGAGUUUCGAGGACGAAAUUCUUUGAAGGUGGUGAGAUUGUUACACCCCACCCAUUUUUAGUCAAAGUCAAGGGAAGUAAUUGGUCAAAGUCAAAGUCAAUAAGGACUUAAGUUAAACAAAUGAUUCUUUUGGGGCUUAAUUUGUAAUUACAAGAAGUUUAGGGAUUUAGUUUCUAUUUACUGGAAUCAAAGGAGUAAAUGGUAUAUUAUAUGAAGAGUGAGGACUUGAUUUGCAAUUCUACCAUACUUAUCCAUUUAAACUUCAAACAUAUAUAUUAUUCUCUCAUUGCUAGGGAAAACAGACUGGAGAAGCAGAGAACAAAAUAUGAAAAAAAAAUGAACGAGAAAAAGGAAGAAGAAGAAAUGGGUGUUGGCUUUUAAAUAUUGAGGUUUUAUUUCUUAGUUCUUAUUUUCAAGAGGUAAUUGAAGUUUAUGUUACUUGAAUAUUUUGGGGUUUAUGGAAAAUUUACUUUAAUUCGAAGUUUAGCAAUAAUUAGUUGUUAUUGAUAUACAUUUGAGGUUAUAAAUAGGAAUAUAGCAAAGAAAUGUUAAUUGAGUGUUGAAGUUGAAGAAAGUUGAAUUUUGAAAUGGGUUUGUAAGAUAGAAAUAUAUUAUUUGAAUUUUUUUGUGAUUAUAUGAUGUUAAACACUUAAAUUAAGGAAUUAGGGUUGGUUUCUCCAUUUUUAAGUAAUAGUUAUAAGCAAUUUUUGGACAAAUCCUACACAGGUGAUGUUUUUGUAAUUCUGCCAAGAAUAGUGCUAAUUCUAUCAAAGGUUUUACUGCCAAAUUUCAAUAAAGGAAUUGGUGCCAGAUUUCAUUAUUAGGGGAUUUUAGUGUUGUUUAUGUCAAAACUCUUAUUUUCAGAUUUGUAAAGGUUUGAAUGAAGUUACAUGCCAAGUGUUGAAUUUUAUAUAUUGGAAUAAAUGAUGUAUAUGGCUUGUAUAUGUAUAAGGUAUUGAUUUUAAGGAAGUGCAAGUGAUUUAAUGGAUUUGAUAAUGCAUGGCGUUUAGUUGAUGAAUCAAUAAAGAGAAUGAAAAUUGGAGAAUUGGAGAUGUAAGAGUGUAUAUAGAAGUUGAGGAGUUAAGUGGUGGAAUUGUAUUAAUUUAAUUGUCAAGUUUUAAUUUGAGUAAUUAUACCAUUAUUUCAGGUGCUGACGUGAAAGAUUGGAAUGGCUCGUCAAUUUAGCCAGAUUUCUAUCCGUGGAUCUGUCUGUGGAAAAAUAUAAAUAUUUUUAAAGUAGUUAUGAAUUAAGUAUAAUAUCAAAAUAUGUGCAAUUAUGUGUUCGAAUUAUAUGGUUAUUAUGGAAAUAUCUUUUAUUAUAAUACAUGUGGGAUUUCAAAGAUUUUAUACAGGAUAUAUUGUGAAUUGGAAUAUGAGAUGUGAUUUUGAGAUCAAUCAGAAAAGUACCCGUGAUUAUAUAUUUCCUCUAGUUCACUGAGGGGCCUUGGUCGUGUUCUAUACUACACUGAGGGGUCGACUGAGGAUGAAGGGGUCGUGAUCGUGUACAUAUAGUUCACUGAGGGGCAUUGGCCGUGUUCUAAAAUUGAUUACCAGAGGUCAUGAGACCCGCUUUCGUUCACGGAGGGGGUCAUAGGCCCAUGGCGAAAGUGCUUAACCCGAGAGACAAAUUACAGAUUUUAGUCAGAGAGUACAUUUUUGUGGAUCACAUGUGAUGUGAUGAUGGUAUAAAUAUCAGUUGAUGACUACAUCAUGAUUAUGAGAUGAUCUUUACAGUGUUAUGACAAUGUCUUACUUUUUGUCUAUAAUUGUAUGAGGUUAUCAUGUGAAUUACUAAUCGAUAUGAACUUGAUGUCUACGUAUGAAAAAAAUGUUUAAAGGAGAAAGUAUGAUUAUUUUUGAACUCUUACACUCAUUGAGCUAUCAACUCAUAUUUUGCUAAAAUUAUUUUUACAUGUAGUAUUGGUCCUUGAUAGCUUGAGGACCUGGUGAUUUCAAAGUUAGAGCCACACGAUAUGUUGAAGAAUAUGAGUCAAUUUGAUUAAACCAUGAAGUAAAGUUUUGGGCCCAUUUAUAAACAUUUGAUUUUAUUGCAUAUCUUGUAGUAACUCAUAGUGAGCCUUCGUGAUGGAGUUGACAUCUAGUCAACAUCUAUUAUCGACGCACACCACGUUUUGGGUCCACUAGGGUGAUUCGAGAUGAAUCGUGUCAAUAUUCAUAUUACUUAUACUCAUAGCAUGCAUGAUUUUUAUUUAUUGGACGUUGACUUAUGUAGUUAUUGCGUGGUAGGUAAGAAUGGAACUUCAUGGAAAGUAUGGCUAGCUGUGAAGCUCUUGCUGGAUUUCGAAGUUUGAUGUACAUGGAUGACGACUUCUAGGGUUAUCUUGUGGGCUAUUGUUUUAGUCUUAUAAUCUACUGUAUUAUAUUUAGAGAAUUUUGUACUAUAUAUAUGACUUUUGAAAUGGCAUGAUAGAUACUUUUGGAACCCUCAAAAUAAAUAUGUUGGAAUUUAGUUAUACAGUAUUUGGUCAUAACAUACCAUAUGUACAUCGUAGGUGACUAGGCGAGAGACCUUAUUGUGAAGAUGCUUAUUUCAUUUUAUCUGGUA
rnacentral:lncRNA from 1 species